rnacentral:tRNA from 1 species
UGGGCCUGUAGCUCAGUUGGUUAGAGCACACGACUCAUAAUCGUUAGGUCCUCGGUUCAAGUCCGAGCAGGCCCACCAU